CACAGACACACACACUCUUACUCACUCACUCACUUACUCAUUCGUGUGCCUCUCGGAACACACUGAAGUAUAAUCACAUGACACUGACCGCAGUGAUAAUGGAGACAUUGUUACAAUGUGUGCAAGAAAAGUCCCUGUGGGGAAUAGUUAACAUUCCUUUUAGAUAUGUUUGGUGGAUUAUUAUUAUUAUUAUUAUGAUUUUUUCUUAUUUAUUACAUAUUUAUUGUACAUCCCAAUGGUUCAGGUAGACCUUCCUCACUGUUUUCAGAGGGAUUUCCAUUGAAAAUAAUGUUGAUUUAUUUUAAAAAAAACAAGUGUCUUUAUUGUCUCUUGAAGCUGUUGAUGGAGUUUGUCUUCUGAAGGCAGCGGUACGGAUUUAACAAGCGUGCAAUAACUACGCCUCCUUGAUUCUCCCGGUUAAAGGGGUGAUGACAAUUCUUGUCCUCUAAUUAUGUCAGUUAAGUACAGUUUAUCUCUGUGUGACAGAUACUCUUCAUUGAAUAAGUGAAAACAGACAUGGGCAAACGUGUUGUUAUGUUCUGUUGCAUAUGGGUUUUCCUGAAAAAGGUUUAUUUUAAUUCCAUAACUGAAAAUUACGUAAGACUUUUCUACAGAAAUGCGUUCUGUGUUAUUCCCCUUUCUUCCAAAACGACAUGAAUAGAUUUGCAUUUCUUGUGUGUUUCUUUUUUUUAUGGCUUUUUUAUCAUUCUAUUAUUCUCAACUCUUUGGUAGCAGAUUUGCCUUAACUGCUAAUUAAAAAGAAUGUAACUCCUGUUAUUUAAAGUGACAACAACAUUUUGUGGACAGUUGGAUGGAACAUUACAGCUACAGCUUUGCUCUAUUGAGUCAUUGCAUUCACUUGUUUUGAUUAGACUUUUUACCAAAGGAGCUUUUUUUCUUUUGCCUCUCACGCCUUUCCACGGCACUGAAGAUGUCACUUUUGAACAUAUGAACAAGUGUGCAGCAAAAAAACAUGAACACUUCCAUCCUAACUGCCUUAAGCUGAUGGGUAGGAACUGCUAAGGCCAUCUGCUGCAAACCAGAGACUGUCCUCACACAAAAAAUGUCCAGAAACCUAAUGUACACCACAUACGGCAUGCAAGACUCCCGACUUCUUUUAAUCAUGUGUGCGUGUUUGUGUGAUUUUGGUUUUCCCUUAAGUGUUUUUUGAACCUGCGGCGUCCCUGUUUGUUGCUGCUUUGUCUGUUAAUACGUGAAAGUGUCUUCGGUCUUAGAGCUGCAUGUGCUACAGCUAGUAGCGUGUGUGCGUGUGUGUGCGUGCGUGUGUGUGAGAGUGGACUGGAUUACCAAACUCUUUGCACAAAAACUAAUGUGCUCUCUCACAUCCAGUUUGUGUGCAUGCAAACGCGCUGCCUUUUUUAUUUUAACUACUCCGUUUUUGUGAAAUGAGAAUAAUGUUUGCUCAAGCUAAUUUCUUGCCCUAGAGGUGAGAAUGGGGGCUAAUAAGUUGUCACUUGGCAGACUAAUGUAAUCCAUGGCAUGUGUGCUGCUCUCUACUCUUGUGCUCAUUUCACAAACUUUAAAAAAAUGUUUUUUUACUGAUACUGUUGUGAUUCUGUUUACCUCAUCUUGUAUUAUAAAUAUUAUUUUUAUUAUAUAUUUUGUCAAAAUAUAUAUUGCCUGUUCCUUAACCGUGCUGAAUGAAUGAGAUGUAUGCAAUUUAAUAAAAAGUAAUAAUU